rnacentral:rRNA from 1 species
AGUGAAUAGAUACCCGGGUAGUCCUAGCCGUAAACGAUACUCGCUAGGUGUCGGCCACGGUGCGACCGUUGUCGGUGCCGUAGGGAAAGCCGUGAAGCGAGCCACCUGGGAAGUACGGCCGCAAGGCUGAAACUUAAAGGAAUUGGCGGGGGAGCACCACAACGGGUGGAGCUUGCGGUUUAAUUGGAUUCAACGCCGGAAAUCUUACCGGGACCGACAGCAACAUGAAGGCCAGGCUGAAGACUUUGCCGGAUUAGCUGAGAGGUGGUGCAUGGCCGUCGUCAGUUCGUACUGUGAAAGCAUCCUGUUAAGUCAGGCAACGAGCGAGACCCACGCCCACAGUUGCCAGCGUACUCUCCGGAGUGACGGGUACACUGUGGGGACCGCCGCUGCUAAAGCGGAGGAAGGAAUGGGCAACGGUAGGUCAGUAUGCCCCGAAUAUCCCGGGCUACACGCGAGCUACAAUGGUUGGUACAAUGGGUAUCUACCCCGAAAGGGGAUGGAAAUCUCCUAAAGCCAAUCUUAGUUCGGAUUGAGGGCUGCAACUCGCCCUC